rnacentral:tRNA from 1 species
CGGGGCGUAGCUCAGUUUGGCAGAGCGCGUGUUUUGGGAACACGAGGUCGCAGGUUCGAAUCCUGUCGCCCCGA